rnacentral:rRNA from 1 species
CCUACGGGAGGCAGCAGUGAGGAAUAUUGGUCAAUGGGCGAGAGCCUGAACCAGCCAAGUCGCGUGAGGGAAGACGGUCCUAUGGAUUGUAAACCUCUUUUGUCGGGGAGCAAAAAGGCCUCGUGAGGCCACAAGUGAGAGUACCCGAAGAAAAAGCAUCGGCUAACUCCGUGCCAGCAGCCGCGGUAAUACGGAGGAUGCGAGCGUUAUUCGGAUUUAUUGGGUUUAAAGGGUGCGUAGGCGGACUGGAAAGUCAGCGGUAAAAUCGAGAGGCUCAACCUCUUUCCGCCGUUGAAACUGUCGGUCGUGAGUGGGCGAGAAGUAUGCGGAAUGCGUGGUGUAGCGGUGAAAUGCAUAGAUAUCACGCAGAACUCCGAUUGCGAAGGCAGCAUACUGGACGGUGACUGACGCUGAGGCUCGAAAGCGUGGGGAGCAAACAGGAUUAGAUACCCCAGUAGUC